rfam:Glycine soja cultivar W05 scaffold167_3, whole genome shotgun sequence.
ACGUUGACAGUCACAUGUCGCACUUUUAUUGAACAUUAUAUGUCACGAUUUUAUUAGAGGUUGACAUUAAUUAAGUGUACAAAAUCAACGUCCAAUAAAUGCACGAUAUGUGACGGUAAACGG